rnacentral:rRNA from 1 species
GACGAACGCUGGCGGCGUGCUUAACACAUGCAAGUCGAACGGUGAAGGGGUCUGCUUUUGUGGUCCCUGGAUGAGUGGCGAACGGGUGAGUAACACGUGAGUAACCUGCCCCCUUCUUCUGGCUAACCGCAUGAAAGUGUGGCUAAUACGGGAUAUUCUGGGUCUGUCGCAUGAUGGGUCUGGGAAAGAUUGCGCCGUUGGGUGUCGUUGGUGGGGGAUGGGCUCGCGGCCUAUCAGCUUGUCGGUGGGGUGAUGGCCUACCAAGGCGGUGACGGGUAGGCGGCCUGAGGGGGGGCACGGUCAGAGGGGGACUGGAACACGGCCCAGAGAGCUACGGGCGGGAGCACUGCGGAAGAUUGCAGAAUGGACGCAUGCCUGAUGCAGCGACGCCGCGUGAAGGAUCGCGGCCUUCGGGAUGUAAGCCUCUUUGGCGAGUGACGCAGGCCUGCUCCUUGUAGGGUGGUUGACGGUAGCUGGAUAAGAAGCGCCGGCUAACUACGUG